AGAGUUUGAUCCUGGCUCAGGAUGAACGCUAGCUACAGGCUUAACACAUGCAAGUCGAGGGGCAGCAUGGUCUUAGCUUGCUAAGGCCGAUGGCGACCGGCGCACGGGUGAGUAACACGUAUCCAACCUGCCGUCUACUCUUGGACAGCCUUCUGAAAGGAAGAUUAAUACAAGAUGGCAUCAUGAGUCCGCAUGUUCACAUGAUUAAAGGUAUUCCGGUAGACGAUGGGGAUGCGUUCCAUUAGAUAGUAGGCGGGGUAACGGCCCACCUAGUCUUCGAUGGAUAGGGGUUCUGAGAGGAAGGUCCCCCACAUUGGAACUGAGACACGGUCCAAACUCCUACGGGAGGCAGCAGUGAGGAAUAUUGGUCAAUGGGCGAGAGCCUGAACCAGCCAAGUAGCGUGAAGGAUGACUGCCCUAUGGGUUGUAAACUUCUUUUAUAAAGGAAUAAAGUCGGGUAUGUAUACCCGUUUGCAUGUACUUUAUGAAUAAGGAUCGGCUAACUCCGUGCCAGCAGCCGCGGUAAUACGGAGGAUCCGAGCGUUAUCCGGAUUUAUUGGGUUUAAAGGGAGCGUAGAUGGAUGUUUAAGUCAGUUGUGAAAGUUUGCGGCUCAACCGUAAAAUUGCAGUUGAUACUGGAUAUCUUGAGUGCAGUUGAGGCAGGCGGAAUUCGUGGUGUAGCGGUGAAAUGCUUAGAUAUCACGAAGAACUCCGAUUGCGAAGGCAGCCUGCUAAGCUGCAACUGACAUUGAGGCUCGAAAGUGUGGGUAUCAAACAGGAUUAGAUACCCUGGUAGUCCACACGGUAAACGAUGAAUACUCGCUGUUUGCGAUAUACUGCAAGCGGCCAAGCGAAAGCGUUAAGUAUUCCACCUGGGGAGUACGCCGGCAACGGUGAAACUCAAAGGAAUUGACGGGGGCCCGCACAAGCGGAGGAACAUGUGGUUUAA
rnacentral:rRNA from 1 species